rnacentral:rRNA from 1 species
GACGAACGCUGGCGGCGUGCUUAACACAUGCAAGUCGAACGGAAAGGCCCUGCUUUUGUGGGGUGCUCGAGUGGCGAACGGGUGAGUAACACGUGAGUAACCUGCCCUUUACUUUGGGAUAACUUCAGGAAACUGGGGCUAAUACCGGAUAGGAGCUCCUGCUGCAUGGUGGGGGUUGGUAAGUUUCGGCGGUUGGGGAUGGACUCGGGGCUUAUCAGCUUGUUUGUGGGGUAGUGGAUUACCAAGGCUUUGACGGGUAGCAUGACUGUGAGGGUGACCGGCAAAAUUGGGACUGAGAUACGGCACAGACUGCUACGGGAGGCAGCAGUGGGGAAUAUAGCACAAUGGGAGGAAGCCUGAUGCAGCAAGGCCGCGUGCGGGAUGACGGCCUUCGGGUUGUAAAACGCAUUCGCGUGUGACGAAGCGUGAGUGACGGUAAUGGGUAAAGAAGCACCGGCUAACUACGUG